AGCCGCCGCGGUAACACCGGCAGCUCUAGUGGUAACAAUUUUAUUGGGCCUAAAGCGUCCGUAGCCGGUUUAAUAAGUCUCUGGUGAAAUCCUGUAGCUUAACUGUGGGAAUUGCUGGAGAUACUAUUAGACUUGAGACCGGGAGAGGUUAGAGGUACUCCCAGGGUAGAGGUGAAAUUCUGUAAUCCUGGGAGGACCGCCUGUUGCGAAGGCGUCUAACUGGAACGGUUCUGACGGUGAGGGACGAAAGUUAGGGGCGCGAACCGGAUUAGAUACCCGGGUAGUCCUAACUGUAAACGAUGCGGACUUGGUGUUGGGGUGGCUUUGAGCUGCUUCAGUGCCGAAGGGAAGCUGUUAAGUCCGCCGCCUGGGAAGUACGGUCGCAAGACUGAAACUUAAGGAAUUGGCGGGGGAGCACCACAACGCGUGGAGCCUGCCGGUUUAAUUGGAUUCAACGCCGGACAUCUCACCAGAGGCGACAGCUGUAUGAUAGCCAGGUUGAUGACUUUGCUUGACUAGCUGAGAAGAGGUGCAUGG
rnacentral:rRNA from 1 species